GAAAAGAAACCAACAGGGAUUGCCUUAGUAACGGCGAGCGAAGCGGCAAAAGCUCAAAUUUGAAAUCUAGUACCUUCGGUGCUCGAGUUGUAAUUUGUAGAGGGAUACUUUGGGACCGUUCCUUGUCUAUGUUCCUUGGAACAGGACGUCAUAGAGGGUGAGAAUCCCGUGUGGCGAGGAGUGCGGUUCUAUGUAAAGUUCUCUCGAAGAGUCGAGUUGUUUGGGAAUGCAGCUCUAAGUGGGUGGUAAAUUCCAUCUAAAGCUAAAUAUUGGCGAGAGACCGAUAGCGAACAAGUACAGUGAUGGAAAGAUGAAAAGAACUUUGAAAAGAGAGUGAAAAAGUACGUGAAAUUGUUGAAAGGGAAGGGCAUUUGAUCAGACAUGGUGUUUUGCGCCCUCCGCUCCUUGUGGGUGGGGGACUCUCGCAGCUCACUGGGCCAGCAUCAGUUUUGGCGGUAGGAUAAAUCUGUAGGAACGUAACUUGCUUCGGGAAGUAUUAUAGCCUUCAGGAAUACUGCCAGCCGGGACUGAGGACUGCGACAUUCGUCAAGGAUGCUGGCAUAAUGGUUA
rnacentral:rRNA from 1 species